rnacentral:rRNA from 1 species
UACGAAGGGGACUAGCGUUGUUCGGAAUCACUGGGCGUAAAGCGCACGUAGGCGGAUAUGUCAGUCAGGGGUGAAAUCCCGGGGCUCAACCUCUGAACUGCCUUUGAUACAGCAUGUCUUGAGUCCGAUAGAGGUGGGUGGAAUUCCUAGUGUAGAGGUGAAAUUCGUAGAUAUUAGGAAGAACACCGGUGGCGAAGGCGGCCCACUGGAUCGGUACUGACGCUGAGGUGCGAAAGCGUGGGGAGCAAACAGG